CUUUUUUUCUCCUGCACGGGUCCGGUCCAAGGCGAUCCCCUGCCUGUUUCGACAGGUUCAGGGUUGAUUGCUGAGGCAGCUCGAUACUUUAAGGAGCACAUCUUAUUCUCUAUGGUGUAAAUUUCCAAUCGUCGGAUCCAAGACAAAAGAGGGCUUCCAAGGGCGCCGAGUUCGCGGUAAAACGCUGAGCACGGUUAGCUCUAGAAGUUCCGAAGGACGUUAUAUUCCACCCCUUUCACCGAGAUCGUCGAUCUAUGAGGUUGAGGUAAACCAUUUCCUAAUCCACAUUU
rnacentral:sRNA from 1 species